GGGAAUGUGGCUUAGUGGUAGAGUGCUUGCCUAGCAUGCAUGAAGCCCUGGGUUCGAUUCCUCAGUACUG
rnacentral:tRNA from 1 species